UACAGAGGUCCCAAGCGUUGUUCGGAUUCACUGGGCGUAAAGGGUGCGCAGGUGGUCGAGUAAGUCUGAUGUGAAAUCCCGCAGCUUAACUGCGGAAUGGCAUUGGAUACUAUUCGGCUAGAGGGUUGGAGGGGGGACUGGAAUUCUCGGUGUAGCAGUGAAAUGCGUAGAUAUCGAGAGGAACACCAGUGGCGAAGGCGAGUCCCUGGACAACUCCUGACGCUGAGGCACGAAAGCUAGGGGAGCAAACAGG
rnacentral:rRNA from 1 species